rnacentral:tRNA from 1 species
AAAGCCUUAGUAUAAUUAUAGUAUAUCUCACUGUCAAUGAGAAGGUAGUUAAAGGCUUUA